GGGCCACUAGCUCAGCGGUUAGAGCAGAGGACUCAUAAUCCUUUGGUCCCCGGUUCAAAUCCAGGGUGGCCCA
rnacentral:tRNA from 1 species